GGGUCAGUGGGUGCGGUCGUGCCACUGGUAUGUACUGGCCCUACUGAUUCCUCCUUCUUGAAGAACUGUAAUGCCAUUAAUUUGGUGUUGCAGGGAAACAGGACUGUUACUUUGAAAAAAUUAGAGUGUUUAAAGCAGGCAAUCGCUUGAAUACAUUAGCAUGGAAUAAUGAAAUAGGACGCUCGAUCCUAUUUUGUUGGUUUCUAGGAUUGACGUA
rnacentral:rRNA from 1 species